AUUGAACGCUGGCGGCAUGCCUUACACAUGCAAGUCGAACGGCAGCACGGGAGCAAUCCUGGUGGCGAGUGGCGAACGGGUGAGUAAUAUAUCGGAACGUGCCCAGUAGUGGGGGAUAACUGCUCGAAAGAGCAGCUAAUACCGCAUACGACCUGAGGGUGACAGGGGUGGAUCGCAAGACCUCUCGCGAUUGGAGCGGCCGAUAUCAGAUUAGCUAGUUGCUGGGGUAAAGGCCUACCAAGGCAACGAUCUCUAGUUGGCCUGAGAGGACGACCAGCCACACUGGGACUGAGACACGGCCCAGACUCCUACGGGAGGCAGCAGUGGGGAAUUUUGGACAAUGGGCGCAAGCCUGAUCCAGCAAUGCCGCGUGCAGGAAGAAGGCCUUCGGGUUGUAAACUGAUUUUGUCAGGGAAGAAAUCCUCUAGGUUAAUACCCUUGGGGGGAUGACGGUACCUGAAGAAUAAGCACCGGCUAACUACGUGCCAGCCGCCGCAGUAACAC
rnacentral:rRNA from 1 species